CUGACUCUAUCGUCUUGUGUGUAUCCGGAGCGUUGCAUUCGGAAUAUGUAGUGCUGGAUGUGUUGUUGUCGUUCUUGUGGUUGGCAUAGUGGGUUCAUUUUUUUGAUGCUACA